UACGGAGGGUGCAAGCGUUGUCCGGAUUUAUUGGGUUUAAAGGGUGCGUAGGUGGUUUUCUAAGUCUGGUUUGAAAGCAAGCGGCUUAACCGUUUGAUGUGGCUGGAAACUGAACAACUUGAAUGGGUUGGCGGUAGCCGGAAUGGGUCAUGUAGCGGUGAAAUGCAUAGAUAUGACCCGGAACACCGAUUGCGAAGGCAGGCUACUACGACUUGAUUGACACUGAGGCACGAGAGCAUGGGUAGCGAACAGG
rnacentral:rRNA from 1 species